GAUGAACGCUGGCGGCGUGCCUAAUACAUGCAAGUCGAGCGAACAGACCCGGAGCUUGCUCCUCUGACGUUAGCGGCGGACGGGUGAGUCACACGUGGAUAACCUACCUAUAAGACUGGGAUCAUUUCGGGAAACCGGAGCUAACACCGGAUAAUAUAUUGCACCGCAUGGUUCAUUAGUGAAAGACGGUUUUGGUGUCACUUCUAGCUGGAUCCGAGCCUGAUUACCGAGUAGGUAAGUAAAAGGGUUACCAAGGCAACUAUGCGUAGCCGACGUGAGGGAGGGAUCGGCCACACGGGAACUGAGACACCGUCCAGACUCCUACGGGAGGCCGCAGUAGGGAAUCUUCCGCAAUGGGCGAAAGCCUGACAGAGCAACGCCGCGUGAGUGAUGAAGGUGUUCGGAUCGUAAAACUCUGUUAUUAGUGAAGAACAAAUGUGUAAGUAACUAUGCACGUCUUGACGGUACCUAAUCAGAAAGCCACGGCUAACUACGUG
rnacentral:rRNA from 1 species